UGACCUCGGAUCAGGUAGGGAUACCCGCUGAACUUAAGCAUAUCAAUAAGCGGAGGAAAAGAAACCAACAGGGAUUGCCUCAGUAACGGCGAGUGAAGCGGCAAGAGCUCAAAUUUGAAAUCUGGUCCUUUCAGGGCCCGAGUUGUAAUUUGCAGAGGAUGCUUUGGGUGCGGCCGCGGCGUAAGUCCCCUGGAACGGGGCGUCGCAGAGGGUGAGAAUCCCGUCUUGAGUCGCCGGUUCGCGCCCGUGUAAAGCUCCUUCGACGAGUCGAGUUGUUUGGGAAUGCAGCUCUAAAUGGGUGGUAAAUUUCAUCUAAAGCUAAAUAUUGGCUGGAGACCGAUAGCGCACAAGUAGAGUGAUCGAAAGGUUAAAAGCACCUUGAAAAGGGAGUUAAAUAGCACGUGAAAUUGUUGAAAGGGAAGCGCUUGCAACCAGACUCGGCCGCUGGGGUUCAAUGAGCACGUGUGCUCAUGCAUUCCCUAGUGGUCGGGCCAGCAUCAGUUCUGGCGACCGGUCAAAGGCCCCUGGAAUGUGUCGUCCUCCGGGACGUCUUAUAGCCAGGGGUGCAAUGCGGCCAGCCGGGACUGAGGAACGCACUUCGGUACGGAUGCUGGCGUAAUGGUUGUAAG
rnacentral:rRNA from 1 species